rnacentral:misc_RNA from 1 species
CAGCUUGUACUCUUUACUUCAAGUUUUGUUCUUUUUGCGUCUGGUAUGUGUACAUGGCCGACACAACCGAAAACCCUGAAAUAAUCCACUGAAGGUUUCUCCCCACUCCAAGCUUCCUCGGGAGUCUUGUCUUUUACCGCUAGUGUGGGUGAUCUGUUUAAAAUAUGAAACGUCCACUGCACCGCUUCUGGCCAAAAAACUUUAGGUAUUUGUUUUUCGGUUAAAAUUGCCCUCACUAGAUUCAUCACGGUUUGAUUCUUCCGUUCAGCUACUCCGUUUUGUUGUGGAGUAUAGGCCAUGGUCAGUUGUCGUUUUACUCCCUGCUGCUUGCAGAAAUCUGUGAACUCUGUAGAGUUGAACUCCCCUCCUCUAUCUGUCCUCAAGCAUUUAAUUGGAAACCCAAUUUCUUUUUCCACAAGCACUUUAAAGCAUUUAAAAUGGUAGAAUGCUUCUGUUUUUUCAACAAGAAAAUAACACCAGGCUUUCCUUGAAAAAUCAUCUAUAAAACAUAACAAGUACCUCUUAUGGCUGUUCGAAGCUGGAGUAAUCGGUCCACAUAUAUCAGCAUGAACAAGGCCCAGCUGUUCUGUUGCUCUCCAAUUGCUCCUUUUUGGGAUUGGGUUCCGAUGUUGCUUGCCCUUUACACAUGCUUCACAUGGGGACGUUGGUGUUGAGAUUUUAGGCAAUCCGAAAACCAUGUUCUUGUCAGUCAAGGUAUGUAAGCCUUUGUAGCUGAGAUGCCCAUAUCGAUUGUGCCACAAAAUCGAUUCAUCUGUACUGCCAACUUGAAAACAAUUUUCAUUAACCACCGUAGUAGGUGUUUCACCAAGCAGAAUAAACAUGCGGUUUGCACUCAUCACUGAUUCUGCCAUCUUUCCUUUCAGUGGAUGAUAGAGGCUGCACACUCCGUCUUUAAACAAAAUUGCGACACCCUUUUCUUGUAAUUGACCUACACUCAGCAAGUUAUUUUUCAGUUCAGGGACACAGUACACAUCACUUACAGUAUAGCAUACCCCUUGCAGGAACAGUUUUAUAACCCCUUUUCCAGUAACCUUCAUUCUUGUGUUAUUUCCAAGCUUGACCGAAUGGGUGAAAUCGGUGUCUAAGCUUGAAAACAUCUUCGAGUUACCACACAUAUGAUUCGAACAACCCGAAUCUACGAACCAGGCAUCACUCCUACUGGUCUCAUGGAGUUCGACAUACGCCAUUAGAAGCAACUCAUCUUCUUCCUCCAAUUCGGCAUAAUUGGCUUCCUUGAUUGAAUUCGGGCACUCAUAUUGGAAAUGCCCUAAAUCAUGGCAUUUGUAACAUUCAACGGUAGCUUUGUUAAACACAGCUCUGCCUCUACCUCGUCCCCGUCCUCUAUAGGAGCCUCUUCCUCUGCUGGUCGAGUUUGAGCGGCCUUCAAUUUUCAGCACCUGGUCUUCGUCUUCCCUGUGCACACGUCGGAAUUUUUGUUCGUGAACCACCAAGGUGCUCUGGAGUUCAUCAACAGACAUGGUUUCAAUAUCUUUUGACUCUUCAAUGGAUACACAGACAUAAGUGAAUUUAUCUGUGAGGGUACGCAAAAUUUUCUCAACAAUUUUGGUAUCCGUCAUUUCUUCUCCAUUACUUCUCAUUUUGUUUGCUACCACCAUUACCCUUGCAAAAUAUUCAGUGAUAGUCUCAUCUCGUUUCAUUUCAAGAACCUCAAAUUCCCUUCGUAAUGCGUUAAGAAGAGAUUUCUUCACUUUCAAAUUUCCACCAAACUUCUUCUUCAAUGAAUCCCAGACUAUUUUUGCUAUCCGGCGAUCCAGAAUCUGUUCAAAGACUGUCCUAUCUAUUGCUUGAAAUAGAUAAUGCUUCACUUGAUGAUCCUUGGUUUUCGCAUCGUCAAGUUGGGCCUGCUGUGCCUCUGUCAGUCUCGUUUCCUGCUUUGGUUCUUCAAAACCAUUCUCUAUCAAGCUCCAAAGACCUUUAGCUCUAAGGAGAUUCUCCAUCAGCUCACUCCAAUGAUCGUAGUGACCAUCAAAGUGAGGAAUUUUGGUCAAGGUCUUAUCAUCACUCAUCCUCGCGGUGUUUGAUCACUCAACUAUUGUUGCUUUCACAGGGCCAGUGGGGCUCUGAUACCAAUUGUGAGGUUUAACAAGAAACAAAAUAGAAACCAGAACAAUUGGAUUUGAGCGUGAUAUUUAUUGAAGUAAAUGCUAGGCUUUAUAUAGCCUUUACUACAAACAGAAAAACGAAAUAUCUGCUAAAACAUGCUAAAUAUAGCAGUAAGAGUAUAUACUAACUAACAGAAAAUAGCUCCUGUAGAAUAGGACUUAUUGACUCAUUCAAACUACCUACAAUAAACUCAUUUCUUUUUCGAAGUUUUUGGUGAACAACCUUUUUAUUUCUGAUAAGAUGAAUGUUUAGAAACUACAUUCAAACACUCACAAUUUUUGCAAAAAAUUUAAAUUUCCUGUAAUUUGUUUAAAAUGAUAUAAAGAUACUUUUCAUCCUAUCCAAACUUAAUUGAUUUUGCUACAAUUUGCUUAAAUAAAUUAUUUUCCUCUAUAGAUUAAUGAAUGAAAAUACUAUUGAUUUUUGCUGCAGUUUAAUAUAUUUUCCUGUAUAGAUUAAUGAAUGAAAUAUUAUUGUAAUGUAAUGGAAAAAAAUGAAAAAUUGAGUAACUUGCAGCCUUUGUGUAGGGCUAUAAAUUAUAAUCUUUUCUAAAACAUCUUUUGACAGCAUUGAAAAUUGCUAGUUUCAAAAGCUACGCGCAUGUAAUGUUAUGUUAGGCUUAGUUAUCAAAUUAACGACAUUAUUCAAUUGAAGAAUUUGAUAACUAAAUAUGAUAUGCAGAACAUAUAUGGUUCAAAAAAUGGUCAUAUUGAUAUUGUCACAUGUGUUCAUACUGAUCAUUGAGUAUGUAUGUUAUUUGUUUCCUGAUCUCUCUUGUUGGACAGAAACUUUCUCAUCUCUGUCAUGUGCCUAGACUGAAGGAACUAUGGUUUGAAAAAGCCUCGCAAAUCAAGGGAAUCAAUCUUCUUGAAUUUUCAAAUGAUUUUUUUUCAUCCUCAUGUUCACAUUGCUUAUUUUUCUUCAAUGGUGGAGAAACUGGAAAGGGACGUGGAAUUGAUGGAACGUCGCAUUCUGGGACAUCCAGAAGAAAUUCAAUUGAUGGAAGGAAAUUGACGAAUGUUCUUCUUGCUAUUAACGUCUUAGUUUAUGUUGCACAAAUGGCUACACAGGGAAAGCUGUUAUUGUGGGGAGCUAAGGUUAGACAAUGAGACAGCUAAAGAAAAGGCAUGUUCCCUGUUUGAUAUUGAAAUUUGGCUCUUUAUGGUCAAUUUCAUAAUGUUUACAGAUUAAUAGUCUCAUCGACAAGGGACAACUUUGGAGGCUGGCCACCUCUUCCCUUUUGCAUGCGAAUAUUGGGCACCUCAUGGUCUGUUCUGAGUAUUCUGACUUCAAAUUUCACCAUUCAUGGUUGAUUUUCCUUUUUCAAGUCUAAAAAUAAAAUUUUCCUUUCCAGAUUAAUAGUUAUUCUUUGAAUUCUAUUGGUCCUACCGUUGAGAACCUUAGCGGUCCAAGGAGAUUUCUUGCAAUUUACUUUACCUCUGCAAUUGCAAGUUCAGCAACGAGCUAUUGGUUUUGUAAAGCACCUGCUGUGGGUGCGUCAGGAGCAAUUUUUGGAUUAGUAGGUCACCCUGCAUCCUGUUCUAUUAUGUUGUCAACUAAUUAAAAGUUCCUUGAGCUAAUAAUUUUCCUCACAACUUACUAUAUGACAUCUGGAUAUUCAAUGUAGGUUGGUUCUCUUGCUGUGUUUGUCAUAAGACAUAGGGGCAUGAUCAGAGGUAGCAAGGAGGAUCUACAAAACAUAGCACGAAUAAUUUUGCUAAAUAUGGUAUGAUUUAAGGCUUUCAAGAGGGAGUUAGUGACUCAGUACAAAUACGUUCUACUCAUUUUAGCCUAUUAAAUCAUGUCUGGUAGGAUGAUUUGUCAUGAGUUUAUGUUACAUAGAAAUUAGAUAUGAUACUUGGUCUUGUUACAUGGAGGUUCUCUUCAUUCUGUCAAGUGAUUACCCAAAAAUGCAGAAAGCAAUUCUAAUCAAUGGUAAUGCACAUCUUUCCUGCAGUUUAUUGGUAUAUUGUCCAGAGGCAUUGACAACUGGGGACAUGUAAGUAUCACACACAUAGAAUCUCCUCUAAACUUUCUCAUCUUCUUUCCUGUGGAACUCUUUUCCUAAAAUUAGGGAACUUAUACUCAUUGGGCAUAGCACAUAAUAAAAUUUUUAAUGAAAGCUUUAAAAAUUUUUGGGUUCAUCUUUGCUUAAUAUUGAUGUUAGAAGCAGUUAUUGGAACCAAUUGGAAGAUUUUAUAAAGUUGAGUUGAAGAGGGAGAGAUUGGAAAAAGGUUGGAGAUGCUUGUAGGAUUUUUCUUCUCUAAACUUAAUCGUGUGAUGGUUCACAGGGAAAAAUGUUAUCUAUUAGUUCAAUUGCAUUUAAGUCCUGCAUUCUAGUUCCAAAUCUAAUGUAGCAGCUUGCAUGCUACGUUGGAGCUUGCAUAAUUUCUUUUUUUCUUUAAUGGAAGAUGUGUUAUUUCGGAGAUUCCUAGUCUUUUUCUUUUGUUCUUUUUUUUAAUUUACUUCUUAACUAAUUUUCCAUGUUGCACCUACAAUUUUAGUUAGGAGGAUUGCUUGGUGGAGUUGCUACAUCUUGGCUUGUUGGACCUGCCUGGAAGUACGAGUCCCUGGCAAAUGAUGGUGGAAGAAUAUUUGUCGACAGGGCACCAAUUAAAUCUCUCUCUAACAGAAAGCGGAAUGAUAGGCAUAUCAAUUGAAUUGUUUAUAUCAUAGCAGAACUCCCACCGAAGCUCUCAUCUUGGCUUUCGUCGAUUGUAAAUGAGAGUUGGUGACACCCCAUGUCAACGCCUUGUGAUUGCAACCAACAUGCUUUAGUUUAUUAAAGUUGCUGGAGUUAAUUCUAAAGUUGUUUGUAAACUCGAAUUCAAACCUUGUGAAAAUCAAAACAAUGAGAAAAAAAUAAGCUUUUUCUUCGUUG